UUUUCUUUAUAACAAAGAGAGUAAACGAAAAGAAAAAUUUUAAAUAAUAAAAUGUAAAUAUUAUUAUGAAAACCUUGAGCUUUAAAAUAUAUAAUGUCAUAAUUUUAACAUUUUAAAAAUAGAAAAAAAUUUAAACUUCAAAAAUAUUUUAUUUCCUUUAAAAACAAUUUGGCUCAAAUGUGCGACCCAAUUAAAUCCUUCUUACUUUUGGUUCUAGUGUUGGUAGCCAUAAAAGGAGCUCCACCUGCUGACCAUAGAUAUGGAACACGAAUCAGAAGAUCUUCUAUGUGCCCGCCAGAUGUAAUCGUAGUUAAAUGUUUUGUGUCUCCUUGUCAUCAGCGAAAGUGCCCAAGAUAUCCUUUAGCGAAUUGUGUUCCCAAUUAUUGCGGGGGAUGCAAACACGAUUUUUAUUAUGACGGGGAAAAAGUUACAUGCUAAUGAAAAAAUCGUCAAUUCUGUUUUAAUUUAUAAAUAUUUGAAACUAAAAAUAAAGAAAUAUGUAUAUUACUUAACAUAAUAUAUUAUUUUAUAAAUUUUAUUCAUCUUCUUUUAUUAGAAAUACAAAUUUAGAUUUUAUAAAUACCGCAUCAAAUAAAAUUUAUUAUAUUUUGG